CUCGGUUACUGGCUAAGGAUUUUCCUGUGGAGCGAGGUAUGAACAACAUUUCCUCCGAUGUCCACUUCCCUCUACCGUCAGCCUCCUCCCAGGGAGACAUCUGCAACCUGGCCAGGUCCUCCUGCAUUCCUUGGCUCAUGGGACCUUCUUUCAUCAUCGAAGUGCAUCACCCAAUCUGCUUCUGUCAUCACAUCACCGUCUCUUCUGACUCUGACUCCUUCUGCGUGUCUCAUAAAGAUCUUUGUGAUGACAUCCGGUCCACCCAGCCUCAUGAUGGUGUGACCUCGGGGAGGUGGAAGGCGGUGUGACCGGAAAGGGGCAGGCCGAGGAGCAGGUGUUUCAAAUCCUGGCGAGUUCAAUUUCUUCACCUGGGUGGCGGUUACGUGGG
rnacentral:lncRNA from 1 species